rnacentral:rRNA from 1 species
AUUGAACGCUGGCGGCAGGCCUAACACCUGCAAGUCGAACGAGUGGCGGACGGGUGAGUAAUGUCUGGGAAACUGCGCGAUGGAGGGGGAUAACUACUGGAAACGGUAGCUAAUACCGCAUACCAUCGGAUGUGCCCAGAUGGGAUUAGCUUGUAGGUGAGGUAACGGCUCACCUAGGCGACGAUCCCUAGCUGGUCUGAGAGGAUGACCAGCCAAACGGGAACUGUGACACGGGCCAUACGCCUACGGUAGGCAGCAGUGGGGAAUAGUGAAAAAUGGGCGCAAGCCUGAUGCAGCCAUGCCGGUGGUAUGAAGAAGGCCUUCUGGUUGUAAAGUAAUUUCAGCGGGGAGGCGUUACCCGCAGAAGAAGCACCGGCUAACUCCGUGCCAGCAGCCGCGGUAAUUC